GUUGCACUUAAGGUCAGCUUCUACUUUGGAACGUGAUCUGAGUUCAGACCGGAUUAGGGACUUGAAUGAAUGGCUACACGAGGGUUCAACUGUCUCUUACUUUCAAUCAGUGAAAUUGACCUUCCCGUGAAGAGGCUGGAAUCUCCCAAUAAGACGAGAAGACCCUAUGGAGCUUCAAUUUACUAGUUCAACUUAUAUAAAAACAACCUAAUGGGCUAAAACAAAAUAAAUAUGAACUAAAAUAUUUCGGGUGGGGUGACCUCGGAGAAUAAAAAAUCCUCCGAAUGAUUUUAACCGACACUCACAAGUCAAAGUAAUACUAAUACCUUAUUGACCCAAUUAUUGAUCAACGGACCCAGUUACCCCAAGGGUAACCGCGCAAUCCUAUUUAAGAGUUCAUAACCACAAUAGGGUUUACGACCUCGAUGUUGGAUCAGGACAUCCAAUGGUGCAGACAGCUAUUAAUGGUUCGUUUGUUCAACGAUAAAGUCCUACGUGAUCUGAGUC
rnacentral:rRNA from 1 species